CAGGAGCCACGUCUAACUUGUUCACAGUGGAGCUCCCAGUGCCUGCGGGGGUUCUGGCACAUAUUAGGCUGGCACAUAUUAACGUUUGUUAAAUGAAGGUGUGAAAGAGGAUGCAGAAAAUGCACAAGCCUUCAGGGCGAUGAGUGAUCGUGGCCAACCUUGGGCGAGAUGUCAGGUGUUCCAAGAGUGGAACAGAAAAAGUAAAUGAAGCCAACUGGUGAGCCGCACCGAGAACACCUGUGCACAGCCACUCCUCGGAGCCUCUGCGACCACGUAGAACACGAGGGAAGGUGAACAGAGCCUCUCUCUCCAGCCUCCGGAACUCACACCCGACUGACUGCACCGAACCAGUUGAAACUUGUCGCACACUGUAAGAUUCCACGCGCCGCUUCCCAUGUUGAAGAUCCCUGCCUCUCCCUUGGAUGGUGGUCAGCAGC